ACGGCGGGCGCUGCGGGGUGGGGGAAGCGGGAGCCCCCUGCAGCCCAUGGGCAGCCCCGCUAUGUCAGCCGUGAGGCAGAGAGCAGCUCUGCUGCCGUGGGGGUGCGCCUGGCUCCCGACUACGAGAACGUCUUCGUCGGCUCCUACGCGGCCCCUGGCGCAGCCCCGGUGCAGGAUGGAGAGCAUGGAUGGCAGCAGGAGGGGUACAGCCCCCAGGCGCCGCCGGACGAUCUCUAUUUCCUGGAGAGCGGCGCAGGGGAGCAGCCCAUCUACGCCAACACCGGGACCCCCGGAGAGGACAUCUAUGUCAGCCCCGACCCGUGAGGGCAGCGCCCCGGGGGAUUCUGCAGCGCUGGGACGGCGGAGGGGAUUUUCCUCUUUUUCUUUUUUUUUCUGUUGGUUUUUUUUUUUUUUUGCAACGAGAGCAAAACGGCUGCGCCGCCGUUUCCUGCGCGGGGCGGAGGGAGGAAGCGGCCGCUUCUCCUUGGGGUUUGCGCUGCGAAAUGGGGACGGGGCGGCGGGACGCGGCGGUCCCUGCACGUCGCUCCGGAGCUCCGCGUGACGCCGGGACCGACGGCCCCAAAUGCUGCCCUCUGUGAAAUCCGACGGCCUGGGACAAAAAAUGCCGUUUUUGGACGCUGCUGGCAGUGUGUGGCUGCGAGGUGGGUGGUGACAUGGGGGCACCCCGUGUCCCAGCCUCGCACGGGUCCUUGUGAUUCUCCACGGUGACAUUAAAUGUUGGGCUGUCCUCAGUGA